GACGAACGCUGGCGGCGUGCUUAACACAUGCAAGUCGAACGGUGACGAGCAGCUUGCUGCUCUGAUCAGUGGCGAACGGGUGAGUAACACGUGAGCAACCUACCCUUGACUCUGGGAUAACAGCUGGAAACAGCUGCUAAUACCGGAUAUGACCUCGACCGACAUCAGUUGAGGUGGCAAGUUCUGGCGGUCAAGGAUGGGCUCGCGGCCUAUCAGCUAGUUGGUGAGGUAACGGCUCACCAAGGCUUCGACGGGUAGCCGGCCUGAGAGGGCGACCGGCCACACUGGGACUGAGAUACGGCCCAGACUCCUACGGGAGGCAGCAGUGGGGAAUAUUGCACAAUGGGCGAAAGCCUGAUGCAGCAACGCCGCGUGCGGGAUGACGGCCUUCGGGUUGUAAACCGCUUUCAGCUCCGACGAAGCGCAAGUGACGGUAAGAGCAGAAGAAGGACCGGCCAACUACGUGCCAGCCGCCGCCGUAA
rnacentral:rRNA from 1 species